rnacentral:rRNA from 1 species
GAUGAACGCUAGCGGCAGGCUUAAUACAUGCAAGUCGAGGGGCAGCGCAGUGUAGCAAUACAUGGGCGGCGACCGGCAAACGGGUGCGGAACACGUACGCAACCUUCCUUUAACUGGGAGAUAGCCCACCGAAAGGUGGAUUAAUAUCCCAUAGUAUAUUUGAGUGGCAUCACUUAGAUAUUAAAGCUCCGGCGGUUAAAGAUGGGCGUGCGUCUGAUUAGGUAGUUGGCGGGGUAACGGCCCACCAAGCCCACGAUCAGUAGCUGAUGUGAGAGCAUGAUCAGCCACACGGGCACUGAGACACGGGCCCGACUCCUACGGGAGGCAGCAGUAAGGAAUAUUGGUCAAUGGACGCAAGUCUGAACCAGCCAUGCCGCGUGGAGGAUGAAGGCCCUCUGGGUUGUAAACUUCUUUUCUUUGGGACGAAACCCCUGUUUCUACGGGGACUGACGGUACCAGAGGAAUAAGCACCGGCUAACUCCGUGCCAGCAGCCGCCGUAAUAC